UUAAGUUCAGCGGGUAUUCCUACCUGAUCCGAGGUCAACCUUGAUAAGUUGGGGGUUUUACGGCCGGUCACCCGUCGCGCGCCCUGAGCGUGGUAAGUUUACUGCACUCGGUACGACGACGAGCCCGCCACUGGGUUUGGGAGCCUGCGGCAGCCGCAGGGCUCCAACACAAGCGCAGGCGCUUGAAGGUACAAAUGACG
rnacentral:misc_RNA from 1 species